rnacentral:rRNA from 1 species
UACCUAGCGGCGGACGGGUGAGUAAUGCUUAGGAAUCUGCCUAUUAGUGGGGGACAACAUUCCGAAAGGAAUGCUAAUACCGCAUACGUCCUACGGGAGAAAGCAGGGGACCUUCGGGCCUUGCGCUAAUAGAUGAGCCUAAGUCGGAUUAGCUAGUUGGUGGGGUAAAGGCCUACCAAGGCGACGAUCUGUAGCGGGUCUGAGAGGAUGAUCCGCCACACUGGGACUGAGACACGGCCCAGACUCCUACGGGAGGCAGCAGUGGGGAAUAUUGGACAAUGGGGGGAACCCUGAUCCAGCCAUGCCGCGUGUGUGAAGAAGGCCUUUUGGUUGUAAAGCACUUUAAGCGAGGAGGAGGCUACUAGUAUUAAUACUACUGGAUAGUGGACGUUACUCGCAGAAUAAGCACCGGCUAACUCUGUGCCAGCAGCCGCGGUAAUACAGAGGGUGCGAGCGUUAAUCGGAUUUACUGGGCGUAAAGCGUGCGUAGGCGGCUGAUUAAGUCGGAUGUGAAAUCCCUGAGCUUAACUUAGGAAUUGCAUUCGAUACUGGUCAGCUAGAGUAUGGGAGAGGAUGGUAGAAUUCCAGGUGUAGCGGUGAAAUGCGUAGAGAUCUGGAGGAAUACCGAUGGCGAAGGCAGCCAUCUGGCCUAAUACUGACGCUGAGGUACGAAAGCAUGGGGAGCAAACAGGAUUAGAUACCCUGGUAGUCCAUGCCGUAAACGAUGUCUACUAGCCGUUGGGGCCUUUGAG